ensembl:lncRNA VNN3P vanin 3, pseudogene
AAUGUAAAGUUUUUCCAGUGAAACAAAACGUAAGAAUCUGAGUUUGUUUUUCAAAGAUCACUAAAUUUUAGUUAUGAUUAUAUCACAUUUUCCAAAAUGUGUGGCAGUUUUUGCCCUCCUUGCUCUGAGUGUUGGUGCACUGGACACUUUUAUUGCUGCAGUAUAUGAGCAUGCGGUGAUAUUACCAAACAGAACAGAAACACCUGUUUCAAAAGAAGAAGCUUUGCUCCUGAUGAACAAGAACAUAGAUGUUUUGGAGAAAGCAGUUAAGCUGGCAGCGAAGCAGCAGGGUGCACAUAUCAUUGUGACCCCAGAAGAUGGAAUCUAUGGUUGGAUCUUCACCAGGGAGAGCAUUUACCCCUAUCUAGAGGAUAUACCAGACCCUGGAGUGAACUGGAUUCCAUGUAGAGACCCCUGGAGCAUGGUACAACACGCUGCCCCUCCUCUCGGCUGUUCCCUUCCAUUCAGCAUGGGCCAAGGCCAUGGGAGUCAAUCUACUUGCUGCAAAUACCCACAACACCAGCAUGCACAUGACAGGGAGUGGAAUCUACGCCCCAGAAGCAGUCAAGGUGUACCACUAUGACAUGGAAACAGAG